GGUUGUGAGGGCCAGCCGGCUGUAUGAUAUCUCUCAUUGCUCUGAUCACCACAGUUGAUUUGGUGUAUCUGGUUGGCUACGCAAAUACCUCCUUCUUUCUUUACUAUCCUUGUUUGCCCCUCUCAAAGCUGUACAAUUGGUAAAAGUGGACAACCAUCCCCCAGAAAGGAGGACAGUACAUGAAUAGCUGCCUGCUAGAACCUUCAUGAAAGUUCUCAAUAAAUAACUCAUACUAUUUAUAAUUUUAAUAGAUUUUUAUUGUGAAA
ensembl:misc_RNA 7SK 7SK RNA